UGCCCGCAGCGGGGACACGGCGGCGCGGAGCACUGCGACCCCCGACACAUCGGCCGCCGCGACCGCCCGAGGCUCCGGAUCUCCACACCGUGAGCGAGCCCGUCUGCGCAGAGGCACCGGCCCUAACUUGUUAGAGCAGCGAACUGGAAACUAAUACCUCCAGCUCUGUCCGGUCACAUGCACGCUCGCUUAGCGCGGCCGCGUCGGCCCGGCCGCACCCCAGCAGGCUGCCUCUCCGACCAUUGGCCAGAGCUGGGUCACAUGGCCGCACCUAAGCCAAUGGCUAGCAAGAGGAGGGGCUGACAUUACGACGAUCCUGUUCGGCCUAUCAGCAUUCGCCUCUGGGCUGGGGUGGCCCGCCCCUCAGUUGCAGAUAAUGCUGCCUCCUUACGGCCCGAAAUGCGUUCUCUCUGCGGGGAAGGGGUUGGGGUGGGGGCCCUUGGGGGUGGCGUGGAGGAGUUGCGGCGGGAAUGGGCGCGUAUUGAGCAGGAGGGGCCUGGAAGCCAGGUUGAAAAGCCAGGACUUUGUCUAGGGGCCAUGGGGAGCCACGGGGGGCGUGUGAGGGGGGAGGGCGAUCCCAUGAAGGCGUUAUCAGGCCCGGCUCUGAUCAGGGUUUUCCCAGUGCACCCACCACGCCCGAGUCUGCAGUCGCUGCCUUGGCUGUCAGCAUCCCAUGCCCUAUCAGAGGACUCACGGGGCUGCCACAGUCCCGCAGGUUUCAGACCCUAGUGCAGGGGCAGUAGACCUAAGUUGAUGUGGAGUCCAUCACAAGCCUUGUUCCGAUUGAGGACGGCGGGAGGAGGUGACCCUGAGAGUUCUGGGGUUAUAUCCUGGAGGCAGGGGUUGUGAUUCCUACAGCCCCUGCAGACCUGCUGCUCUGGGUCCUAAAGGCUCCUCUUGAAUAAAACAUAAACGCGCUUCGUGAAAGCUGGGUCUGUCCACUGCAAGUGACAGAAACUCAGCUUAAUGGACUUCAUUUUAUUGGGUGGAGGAAUUCAGGCACAGCUGGAUCCAGGACUUCCAAAAACAGUACAGGGAGUUUCUGCUGCCCCUCCUGGCUCAGUGUCCCACUGCCCUGGCUUCUCCCUGGCCAUUGGUAGAAUCCACCUGCAGCUCCAGGCUCAUACUUCUCCAGCUCAGGCAAGAAGUGGGUGUCUCUUUCCCAGAAAAAAAUCUCAGAGGUGACUCCUCCUGGUUUGUUGAGUGCCAGAUGAUCCUAAUUGGCUGAGCCUGGGUUGGUGCCACUCCUGGGAUCAUUUGGGCUGGGAGCACAGGAGGUGAAAAUUUGGUGCUGGGACCAGAACAGGGGGAUGCCAGCUACAAUCUGGGGCCUGGCCGUCAUUGUCCAAUCCAGAAUAGGAGGGCCUUGCCCCACAGCUCAGCAUAUGGGUCCUGGAAUCUUGCUUAUGCCAGUCCCAACACUGUGGGGCUUUGUGACUGCCAGAAAGUCACUUUCCUUCCUCCACCCUCUCUAAAACGGGUGCCUGUCUCACAGCAUCAUGGUGAGUGGCAAAGAAGACUCAUGCAUCUUCCCUGGACAAACACCUAUCUGCUAAUUAAUGCCAUGCCCCUGCUGUGCACCAGGCACUUUCCCUGGCAUCCUCGGUGGUAUCUACAGCACUGGGAUCUGUGCCCAUUUUACAGAUGAGAAAAGGGGGCACAGAAAGGUCACACACGUGGCCUGGCCGAGGUGGCACAUCCUGCACUGGGCUCCCACCGGAAGUCUCCUCCCUCCAGGCCUCAGGGUCACCUCCUUGGAGACCCCGCAACCUUCCUGUUCCCAGGGCCUGUGUCCUGCCACCUGUCUUCAUCCUUGUGUUCACUCCCUUGUUUGUUUCCAGCCGACAGGGACCCUAUCGCUGUGGCACCAAGCCCAAUCUGCAGGGCCUGCCUAUUGCUGCUGUAACAAAUUGCCACAAACUUGGCAACAUAAAACAACACAAAUUUGUCUCUUCUAGCUCUGGAGGGCAGAAGUGCAACGUGGGUCUCACUGAACUAAAAUCGAGCCUCUAGAAGCUACUCCCCUUCCUGCGUUCAAGGCGCCUUCCUCCACCUCCACCGCGGGCGACGGCAGGUCACGUGCUCCUCUGUGACCACAAAGGGAAAUGGUCUCUACUUUUGAUGACCCUCUGAUUCCACCGGGCCCACCUGUGUAAUCCAGGACCAACUCCCCAUCCAAACGUUUGAGCCUCUACAAACCGUGGGCGUGGCGAUGACAAGACUGGGUCAGCCUUGGUCGCCCUGGUACCCCAGCACCCCUCAACAGUCCUUGCCGUAAGAAGACAGUCAUUAUUUCUUAGAAACUCAAACAGAGAGGGGCUGUACAGGAUCCAUGAGCAUUGGGAGCGUGCCCUGACCAUUUGGGAACCCCCAAGGAUAGGAGCGAUGAGCUCCAAAAUGGAGGAGCAUCUGGCUGCCCCAAGGCUCCAGGGGGUUCAGUUCUUUCCAGGGCCAUGCUGAUGUCUGAUGCCACUGUCAUAAAUUGUGGAAAGCCUGGUAUUCCGGGUGGCCAAGGCUAAGAGCACAGAACCUGAAAAGAGGAAAAAACCCUAAGCCAUAAAUGCUUUUCCACGUGGCCUGGGAGGACCGUUUGCAAAGGUCUGGGGGCGGUGGGGGUGGGGGUGCGCGUGUGGUCGGUGUCGUCUCCCGAAGUCCAGACCCAGGGGCCACACUUUGGAAGUCUUGAGGAAGGAUCACUGCUGUCCCUGGCGCUGGGACCAUUUGUGGCUCUGGGUCUCCUGCUGCCCCA